AACUGCGAAAUUAAACUGCAAUCAAUCACUGCAUAAGGUUCAGACGAUACAUUAUACAUUGGCUAAAAUCCAUAUGGCAACAGUGAGCAUUCACGUACAUGGGUCGCUUAUGGCACAUACAGCUGUCCGACUACAGGCAUAGUGCUUGCCUCUGUCGCACAUGGUGGUCUGGUAACGAGCGACAACAAGCAGCGCAAACAGAUUGGGUGACGUGUCCCACCUAUUUGCACCGACAGUCACCACUGAAGAUAAGCAACUUGCAUUGCGAAGCAAUCGGGUGAUGCAGGCAUCUGCUGCCACAGUCAAAACAGCGACAUGGACUACCCAGCAGUUUAGCGUUAACUCCUUUCCAGCCUGCACCCUUCUUUCUUUUGGGGGCUGCUAAUGUGUGGCUCACACUUGGUAUCCCACUUCGUCUCAAUAUGGACAAGUCGGUUUCGUGGGCAUCGCCUUCGGCAGCCACUUUAGCGGGCCAUUCCACCCAGGUGGCUAUCAGCUUCAUACACCUCGGACCAUGUAAGCACAUAUGCUGGUGUAUGUUCACGCCAAAUCGCAGCUGACAAAAGCCACAAGCAAAAUUUGCACAUGGCUGCAGCAGGAAAGGA
rnacentral:lncRNA from 1 species